CAAAAUCCCCAAAAAAUGGUGUAUUUUAGAUUUUGGAAUAUGUGGUGCUAGGGAAAUGUGUUUACACAUUUUCUGUUUGUCAUAAAGAGUUGUUGAUGCCCAUGUAGGACAGCGCAGAUCUACAGGUCUCUGUUUUCAACAUGGCGUAAACCGAUAGGCGAAGGUAGAAACCCUGGUGUUGAGUGGUAGAAUAGAACGGGCUCAACUUGGUGCUCAAACAGGCCCGUUAACCGCACCGACUACGUUUACAUGCACAUAAUAUAUCGGUUUUUGCCCUCAUUCCGAAAAAGACAGUAUUCUGACUAAGCUGUUUACAUGGCUUAUGAAAGUGAAUAUUCCACUAAUAUUCCCAUUUUUUUUCCCCCAUCCUGAUUUUUUUCAAACUUUUCCACCAGUGGUGAACACAGCCUCCCUCUUUCAUUCCUUCAUCCAUCUUCUUAAAAAGAUUGGAGUUGCGAUGUUUGCGCAUAUCUAAAAACCGGUUCAUAUUCAAGUCUUUGAUAAUGUUUAAAAGUAGCGGUGUUUCUCCUUAUUUUCUUUUGGCCGUGCAUCUCUACCGCCCUGCAAACUGUCGGCUGGUUGGUUUGUGUACAGUAACCAUAGCAACGCACAGAGCUGACCGUAAGCCGUAAACAGGCAAGAGGCCGUAAACUAUCACAAACUGCAAUAAAAGCCCAGAUUGAGACGCAGCGUCCAAAUUCCCUAUUUACAUGUCCAAAGAAUGCUUCUAAAACCCAAAUAAUACCGGCAUAUCCUCUUAAUUGGAAAAUGCUAUACUCGGAGAAAGGCCUUAUUCUGAAUAUCCAAACAGAAUAUGCAUGUUUACAUGACCCGUAUGAAAUUCGGAAUAAUAGUGGAAUAUUAGUGUGCAAUGUAAACAUACUCAAGUGUUGUCGUUUCUGCAUAACUGUGUAUUUUACCUUUCCCUACUACCUACCGAUAAGGAAGUGAUGAAGUUGUCUUAAAGUGUCCAUGUCUUACUCGUGUGUUCUUUUUGGCUGUGACUGAGUCCCUAACAAUCCAUCAAGUGCUGCUUCUCCAUUAGAGCUUGGAUGGCAGUUUACUGUACAUUCACUAAUGACAAAGAGCCGGAUUCAGACUGGGACUUAAGCGUACAACUACAGCUGCUACUCUACUCAUUCCCAACCUUGGAGUCAAUACUUGGCGAUUUAACCCUUGUGUUGUCCUCAGGUCAAAAUUUUCCCUAACCCUAACACGUUUAAAGUUUUUUUUAUAUCACAAAUAUGAGGACGCAA